GAUGAACGCUGGCGGCGUGCCUAAUACAUGCAAGUCGAGCGAACGGACGAGAAUCUUGCUUCUCUGAUGUUAGCGGCGGACGGGUGAGUAACACGUGGAUAACCUACCUAUAAGACUGGGAUAACUUCGGGAAACCGGAGCUAAUACCGGUUAAUAUUUUGAACCGCAUGGUUCAAAAGUGAAAGACGGUCUUGCUGUCACUUAUAGAUGGAUCCGCGCUGCAUUAGCUAGUUGGUAAGGUAACGGCUUACCAAGGCAACGAUGCAUAGCCGACCUGAGAGGGUGAUCGGCCACACUGGAACUGAGACACGGUCCAGACUCCUACGGGAGGCAGCAGUAGGGAAUCUUCCGCAAUGGGCGAAAGCCUGACGGAGCAACGCCGCGUGAGUGAUGAAGGUCUUCGGAUCGUAAAACUCUGUUAUUAGGGAAGAACAUAUGUGUAAGUAACUGUGCACAUCUUGACGGUACCUAAUCAGAAAGCCACGGCUAACUACGUG
rnacentral:rRNA from 1 species